rnacentral:rRNA from 1 species
UACGUAGGUGGCAAGCGUUGUUCGGAAUUAUUGGGCGUAAAGGGCGCGUAGGCGGUUUGUUAAGUCGGUUGUGAAAGCCCGGGGCUCAACCCCGGAGAGUCGACCGAUACUGGCAAACUAGAGUACAGAAGAGGUAGCUGGAAUUCCUGGUGUAGCGGUGAAAUGCGCAGAUAUCAGGAGGAACACCUGAGGCGAAGGCGGGCUACUGGGCUGAUACUGACGCUGAUGCGCGAAAGCCAGGGGAGCAAACGGG